AUUCCCCUAGUAGCGGCGAGCGAAGCGGGAAGAGCUCAAAUUUAUAAUCUGGCACUUUCAGUGUCCGAGUUGUAAUCUCUAGAAGUGUUUUCCGCGUUGGACCGCACACAAGUCUGUUGGAAUACAGCGGCACAGUGGUGACACCCCCGUACACGGUGCGGACGCCCAGCGCUUUGUGAUACACUUUCGAAGAGUCGAGUUGUUUGGGAAUGCAGCUCAAAUUGGGUGGUAAAUUCCAUCUAAAGCUAAAUAUUGGCGAGAGACCGAUAGCGAACAAGUACCGUGAGGGAAAGAUGAAAAGCACUUUGGAAAGAGAGUUAACAGUACGUGAAAUUGUUGGAAGGGAAACGCUUGAAGUCAGACUUGCUUGCCGGAGCUUGCUUCGGUUUGCAGGCCAGCAUCAGUUUUCCGGGGUGGAUAAUGGCGGUUAGAAGGUAGCAGCUUCAGCUGUGUUAUAGCUUUCCGCUGGAUACAUCCUGGGGGACUGAGGAACGCAGCGUGCUUUUAGCGGGGGUUUCGACCUCUUCACGCUUAGGAUGCUGGUGUAAUGGCUUUAAACGACCCGUCUUGAAACACGGACCAAGGAGUCUAACAUGCUUGCGAGUAUUUGGGUGUCAAACCCGGAUGCGUAAUGAAAGUGAAUGUAGGUGGGAACCGCAAGGUGCACCAUCGACCGAUCUGGAUUUUCUAAGAUGGAUUUGAGUAAGAGCACGUAUGUUGGGACCCGAAAGAUGGUGAACUAUGCCUGAAUAGGGCGAAGCCAGAGGAAACUCUGGUGGAGGCUCGUAGCGGUUCUGACGUGCAAAUCGAUCGUCAAAUUUGGGUAUAGGGGCGAAAGACUAAUCGAACCAUCUAGUAGCUGGUUCCUGCCGAA
rnacentral:rRNA from 1 species